GGAGAGGUGGCCGAGCGGCUGAAGGCGCCGGUCUUGAAAACCGGUUGGGGCAACACCCACGUGGGUUCGAAUCCCACCCUCUCCG
rnacentral:tRNA from 1 species